AGUAGGGUGCCAUCAAGAGGUGUAUUUUGAAAUAUCCCUAAUAAAGGAACACUA
rnacentral:rRNA from 1 species